AUGAAUUGCUUAGCAUGGAACCGUCAGGGAGCAGCCAACAAACCGACAGUUCGUGACCUGCUUGGCAUGGUAAAAGCAAUAAAAGCAAAGUUAGUUUUUCUGUAUGAAACUAGACAAAGUUCAGAUAAAGUUAAGCGUUUGUGUGGUAGAUUAGGUUUGAAAGAUUUUUCUGGAGUUAGUAGCGAUGGUUUGAGUCGAGGGCUUGCCCUCUUUUGGUGUGAGAGCUUGCAUGUGGAAAUUCAGUCUUCUAAUAUAUAUAUAUAUCCAGCCUAUUCUGUUUCGCUAUUUGAACUGACGGUUUCAGGCAGUUGUACUGAUGAAAAUCGAGGCGUCGAACUGGUCCUCGAUUUUUUUUGUCAGAACAGGGCGUGUAAUAUAACAUUGGAAAGCUUUUGA
rnacentral:rRNA from 1 species